rnacentral:rRNA from 1 species
UACGGAGGGUGCAAGCGUUGUUCGGAAUUACUGGGCGUAAAGCGCUCGUAGGCGGGCUUAUAAGUCAGUUGUGAAAGCCCGGGGCCCAACCCCGGAAUUGCAAUUGAAACUGUGAGUCUUGAAUAUCUGAGAGGGUGGGGGAAUUCCUGGUGUAGAAGUGAAAUUCGUAGAUAUCAGGAGGAACACCUGAGGCGAAGGCGCCUGCCUGGCAGAAUAUUGACGCUGAGGAGCGAAAGCGUGGGGAGCAAAC